CGCAAGUUGGUAUUUUCUUUUGUCAAAUUCCUUUUCGACCAUCUAGGUGGUCCCCGCGUGUAGGUGUUGGCUACGAUUUAGGGCGCAGAUUGUUGCACUCUCAGCAUGAAUUGCGUCAGCAAUUACGAACUUCUUUCUGCAAUCACUACCCGAUUAUAUUUGCAAUGCCGUAACUAUGAUAUCUUAUUGCAAUUGAGAACGUAAUAUUAUCUUCUGAGCAAGUGAAAAAAAGUUGUUAUGCGAUGAAAGGUUAUGUUUAUACUCCGUUGAAUCACUGAUGAAGAGGCGAAAUAUUUGGUUGUACUCCAUCGUAUCGCUGUUGAGCGGAUCAUCUUGUCGCUUACUGGUAAUGAGUAGCUCAUAAACUCGCUAGCUCGCUGUGAAAGAGCAGAUCAGAGAGUUGCUGGUAAAUAGCAUAUGCGUGCUUGUUUAUGUGAGAUACUUCCCGGAUACCGUGGAUAACAGUAAAAAGGGCUAUGCUACAGUGUCACGUAAUCAAUGAAGACCUAGUUUGUUUUAGUUUCACCAUUGCACGUAAAAAGUUUUACUUCGUUUGAUGACUGACAUGUUAUUUAAAAAAUUAAACGGUGUGGGUAAUCAUAAAAUGUAAGUAGCUUGUGAAGGCCAGCCAAGCGAGAGGACUCAUGAGAAUUGAAGGUAUUUCAUCACGGCCGUGGGUGUAAAAUUCGUUCCUACGUGGAGAUAAUUAUUAGUGGAUCCAGCCUCGUUAGAUGCUUGGAAAGGGUUGCGAGCAAGUUUUUAGUUAGCAAUCGGGUUGGGAGUCUCCUUCUAAGUAGUCGUAUUAUUUCGAAUGUUGCCUUAAUUCUUAUUAUUUCGAUUGUUGCAGUAUGCCAGACGACGUCCCAAUGUUAUGCAUGGAAGCUUGGUGUAUUCGCCCGUUCAGGAAGAAAUGUGGCGCACUACUAAUUUUAUGCAGAAAAAAAUAUUGGUAUGCUGGUAAGGAAGAGUUCACAGG